GCAGGUGCUGUCUCUGAGUAGACACCAAAAAAAUAGUCUUAAGCAAGUGAUUCUCUGUUUAACAGGGCACCUGCUUCUGGGUGAUGGCCUGUGUGAUCAAACCAGUGAAUUUCAUCGACAAGAGCCCAUUGAUGCAUUUCUACUGCUAUGAACAGGACCCAGAGAUGGGGCAGACCAUUGCCUGAAACAAUUUGCAGCACAGUGAAAAGAAGCCUACCGGGGACCGGGGGAGAGAUGAGAGAUAGAACUACCAUUGCCAGUUUGGUAUGAAUUCACUCAGGACUUUAUGCAUUUAUGUACAAGUAGGUACAUACACAAAUACACAGGGGUUUGUUUGGUUUU